AAAAGGUGAGCCAAUUGCAAGUCACGACUGAAGAAAACUCAGUGAGGGCAACGACAAUACAUCGUCAGAUCUCGACACGGUUCAAGACUUUAAGCCAACGCCAAGUCAACGCCGCGGUGUACCAAUCUCAGAUAAGGAACCCUGCAGAUAGGUUUUUUUUUGUGAGCUUGGUGUACAGUACGCCAUGAUGUACGUACACACACGUGGUGGUAAAUGGACGGCUGCUGCUAAAUCGAGUUGCUAAAACGCGGGACUGCCACCCUACGCCAUUGUCCCCAAAGACUGGAAUGUUUUGUGGAAUUUUCGGCUACGACAACAGUGUUUGCUUGUGCAAGAGUUUUUCGACGCCAAUAAGUUUCUUUUUUGAAAGGUCACUCCAGUUGCACCAUUGCUAUUUAUCGGUUCAAUUGAUCUUUGUUGACAUGGAUGUGUCCCAUAUUAAGUUUACGAGUUCAAAUUCCAUCGUUCACCGAGAAAUCGUCGUCCAGAUGUGUCAAAUGUCUCCAGGCGUCAACAAUCAUCGACUUUGUGUCAACCCACGUCAAUUUUUUGUUUUUACCUAGUUGUUACCUAGUUGUUUAGACAAAAUCUGCUUCGCAUUGAAAAAAUAAAACGUAUAUCUCAAAAAUAACA